AAAAAAGAAAGCAUGCUUAAAGUAAAGCUGUGAUGAAAAGUUGACACUCGCCAGUCGUCAUCAUGCCAAAUGUACACAGGAAGCAGGAACAUCCACUUUUAGGGGGUCAUUGUCCUGUUGGAACACCCAACUGCGCCCAAGACUCAACCUCCGGGCUGAUGAUUUUAGGUUGUCCUGAAGAAUUUGGAGGAGCCAGAUUAGGUGCCAUGCGGAAGACCCAGGACUGUGGAAACACCUCAGGAUCCCCCAGGAAGAGCUGGACGAAGUAACUGGGGAGAGGGAAGUCUGGGUUUCUC